GUGGGGAAUCUUGCGCAAUGGGCGAAAGCCUGACGCAGCCAUGCCGCGUGAAUGAUGAAGGUCUUAGGAUUGUAAAAUUCUUUCACCGGGGACGAUAAUGACGGUACCCGGAGAAGAAGCUCCGGCUAACUUCGUGCCAGCAGCCGCGGUAAUACGAAGGGGGCUAGCGUUGCUCGGAAUUACUGGGCGUAAAGGGCGCGUAGGCGGACAGCUUAGUCAGAGGUGAAAGCCCAGGGCUCAACCUUGGAAUUGCCUUUGAUACUGGCUGUCUUGAGUUUGGGAGAGGUGAGUGGAACUCCGAGUGUAGAGGUGAAAUUCGUAGAUAUUCGGAAGAACACCAGUGGCGAAGGCGACUCACUGGCCCGUUGCUGACGCUGAGGCGCGAAAGCGUGGGGAGCAAACAGGAUUAGAAACCCGAGUAGUCC
rnacentral:rRNA from 1 species